rnacentral:rRNA from 1 species
GUGGAUUAGAUACCCUAGUAGUCCACGCCGUAAACGAUGCUAACUCGUUUUUGGGACUUCGGUUUCAGAGACUAAGCGAAAGUGAUAAGUUAGCCACCUGGGGAGUACGUUCGCAAGAAUGAAACUCAAAGGAAUUGACGGGGGCCCGCACAAGCGGUGGAUUAUGUGGUUUAAUUCGAUGAUACGCGAGGAACCUUACCAAGGCUUAAAUGGGAAUUGACAGGUUUAGAAAUAGACUUUUCUUCGGACAAUUUUCAAGGUGCUGCACGGUUGUCGUCAGCU